rnacentral:ncRNA from 1 species
AACUCUGGAGAGUCUCAGAAUGAGCGCCGAAGGUGUAAGGCAGGAGAAAAAAGAACUGUCGAUCUCUCAGGCAAAAGGACAGAGCA